rnacentral:rRNA from 1 species
AAAUUGAAGAGUUUGAUCAUGGCUCAGAUUGAACGCUGGCGGCAGGCCUAACACAUGCAAGUCGAACGGUAACAGGAAACAGCUUGCUGUUUCGCUGACGAGUGGCGGACGGGUGAGUAAUGUCUGGGAAACUGCCUGAUGGAGGGGGAUAACUACUGGAAACGGUAGCUAAUACCGCAUAACGUCGCAAGACCAAAGAGGGGGACCUUCGGGCCUCUUGCCAUCGGAUGUGCCCAGAUGGGAUUAGCUAGUAGGUGGGGUAACGGCUCACCUAGGCGACGAUCCCUAGCUGGUCUGAGAGGAUGACCAGCCACACUGGAACUGAGACACGGUCCAGACUCCUACGGGAGGCAGCAGUGGGGAAUAUUGCACAAUGGGCGCAAGCCUGAUGCAGCCAUGCCGCGUGUAUGAAGAAGGCCUUCGGGUUGUAAAGUACUUUCAGCGGGGAGGAAGGGAGUAAAGUUAAUACCUUUGCUCAUUGACGUUACCCGCAGAAGAAGCACCGGCUAACUCCGUGCCAGCAGCCGCGGUAAUACGGAGGGUGCAAGCGUUAAUCGGAAUUACUGGGCGUAAAGCGCACGCAGGCGGUUUGUUAAGUCAGAUGUGAAAUCCCCGGGCUCAACCUGGGAACUGCAUCUGAUACUGGCAAGCUUGAGUCUCGUAGAGGGGGGUAGAAUUCCAGGUGUAGCGGUGAAAU